rnacentral:rRNA from 1 species
GAUGAACGCUAGCGACAGGCUUAACACAUGCAAGUCGAGGGGCAGCACAGGGUAGCAAUACUUGGGUGGCGACCGGCGCACGGGUGAGUAACGCGUAUGCAACUUACCUAUCAGAGGGGGAUAGCCCGGCGAAAGUCGGAUUAAUACCCCAUGAAACAGGGGUCCCGCAUGGGAAUAUUUGUUAAAGAUUCAUCGCUGAUAGAUAGGCAUGCGUUCCAUUAGGCAGUUGGCGGGGUAACGGCCCACCAAACCGACGAUGGAUAGGGGUUCU